UCCGGUUUGACACCGGCAGUCCCGUUAGAGUCCUCAGCUUUACCUGUUAGCAACUAACGGCAGGGGUUUCGCUCGUUAAGGGACUUAACCCGACACUUCACAGCACGAGCUGACGACAGCCAUGCAGCACCUGUGCACGUUCCACGCAAAGCGCGUCACUUCCCUUUCAGGAAGCUAAUCCGUGCAUGUCAAACCCAGGAUAAGGUUCUUCGCGUUGCUUCGAAUUAAGCCACAUGCUCCACCGCUUGUGUGAGCCCCCGUCAAUUCCUUUGAGUUUUAGCCUUGCGACCGUACUCCCCAGGCGGUGCACUUAAUGCUUUUGCUUCGGCCGGGAUGGCGUCAAAACCUCCCCGACCUAGUGCACAACGUUUAGGGCGUGGACUA
rnacentral:misc_RNA from 1 species